GAUGAACGCUGGCGGCGUGCCUAAUACAUGCAAGUCGAGCGAACAGACGAGGAGCUUGCUCCUUUGACGUUAGCGGCGGACGGGUGAGUAACACGUAGGUAACCUACCUAUAAGACUGGGAUAACUUCGGGAAACCGGAGCUAGUACCGGAUAAUAUUUCGAACCGCAUGGUUCGAUAGUGAAAGAUGGCUUUGCUAUCACUUAUAGAUGGACCUGCGCCGUAUUAGCUAGUUGGUAAGGUAACGGCUUACCAAGGCGACGAUACGUAGCCGACCUGAGAGGGGGAUCGGCCACACUGGAACUGAGACACGGUCCAGACUCCUACGGGAGGCAGCAGUAGGGAAUCUUCCGCAAUGGGCGAAAGCCUGACGGAGCAACGCCGCGUGAGUGAUGAAGGUCUUCGGAUCGUAAAACUCUGUUAUUAGGGAAGAACAAACGUGUAAGUAACUGUGCACGUCUUGACGGUACCUAAUCAGAAAGCCACGGCUAACUACGUG
rnacentral:rRNA from 1 species